UAGCAUUUUAUUUAGAUCUACUAUUUCUAGCAGACAAGGCACUCAGAGUGCUAUUUCCAUGACCUCAAAUGCUCCCUUCUCUUCUGGACAAGUUGACACCAUGAGACCUCAUCUAAAAUACCAUUUCCUAGAGGCUUUCUUCCUUAUCUGUCUGACCCUUCCUACACUAGGUCGUUGCCACACGCCACAGGGCUUUCUGUAGAAGCCAUUGGCUUGUUUAUAAUAUGAUAGUCAGCUGUGGUUUCUUGAACACCAUCUUCCUCCUCUACGCAUGAGUUCCUUCUGUUGACCUUUGCCUGGUGGGUCUCUGGAAGAGUAUUCACACAUAGUAGAAGUUGCCAGGGGAACAGGCAAAGAAUGGUCCACAGUAAUAUUUUAAGGGCUAGCCUGCCAAUGAGCUUCAAGGAGUAAUUUGGACUGAUGACUCCCAGAGAUGACCACCGAGUCUCUUAAUCAAAUUCCCUCUGAAAGCCCAAGAAACCCACUUAGACGUCUUCUUGGGAGUCUAUGGCAGGUGAGUCUCUUAAGUCACAGCCAACUACCUAGAGGUACAAGAUCUCUGGUGCAAAUGGAGCUGCAUGAUGAGAGAGACAACCAAUCAGGGCUCAAGACCACAGUGCCCAGGGGACAACCUGCCCCAUCAGAAGAUUCCUGCAAAUGUGAAGUUUCUGGAGCCUUUCUUAGCAGCACAGUUGGGGUGCACGAAGCCUGGGGGAAGGACCAGCUGAGGUGGAACUUCAAGUCCAUUCUGUGUUCAUGUUCCAAUAAAGUUAUCAAAGCACACGCU
rnacentral:lncRNA from 1 species